rnacentral:rRNA from 1 species
AGAUUGAACGCUGGCGGAAUGCUUUACACAUGCAAGUCGAGCGGCAGCGCGGGGCAACCUGGCGGCGAGCGGCGAACGGGUGAGUAAUACAUCGGAACAUGUCCAUUUGUGGGGGAUAGCCCGGCGAAAGCCGGAUUAAUACCGCAUACGCCCUACGGGGGAAAGCGGGGGACUUCGCAAGAGGCCUCGCGCGAAUGGGUUGGCCGAUGUCCGAUUAGCUAGUUGGUGGGGUAAAGGCUUACCAAGGCGAUGAUCGGUAGCUGGUCUGAGAGGAUGAUCAGCCACACUGGGACUGAGACACGGCCCAGACUCCUACGGGAGGCAGCAGUGGGAAUUUGGACAAUGGGGGCAACCCUGAUCCAGCCAUUCCGCGUGAGUGAAGAGGCCGUUCGGGUUGUAAGCUUCUUUGUCCGGAACGGUAAACGGUAACGUGAAUAUCGCUGCCUACUGACGGACCGAAGAAUAAGCGACCGCUAACUACGUCGCAGCAGCCGCGUAA